UACAGAGGGUGCGAGCGUUGUCCGGAAUCACUGGGCGUAAAGGGCGCGUAGGUGGUGGCUUAAGCGUGCGGUGAAAGCUCGGAGCUCAACUCCGAGUCGGCCGUGCGAACUGGGCUCACUGGAGCAUAGUAGAGGCAGGUGGAAUUCCGGGUGUAGCGGUGGAAUGCGUAGAGAUCCGGAAGAACACCGGUGGCGAAGGCGGCCUGCUGGGCUAUGGCUGACACUGAGGCGCGAAAGCGUGGGGAGCGAACAGG
rnacentral:rRNA from 1 species